rnacentral:rRNA from 1 species
CCCUUAGAUGUUCUGGGCCGCACGCGCGCUACACUGACGAAUGCAACGAGCUUAUAACCUUGGCCGAAAGGUCUGGGUAAUCUCCAAAUUUCGUCGUGAUGGGAAUAGAUUAUUGCAAUUAUUAAUCUUCAACGAGGAAUGCCUAGUAAGCGCAAGUCAUCAGCUUGCGUUGAUUACGUCCCUGCCCUUUGUACACACCGCCCGUCGCUCCUACCGAUUGAAUGGUCCGGUGAAGCGUUCGGACCGUGGCCUUUGGACGGUUCGCCGUCUGUUGGCUGCGGGAAGUUCGUUAAACCUUAUCAUUUAGAGGAAGGAGAAGUCGUAACA